CCUACGGGAGGCAGCAGUAGGGAAUAUUGCUCAAUGGACGCAAGUCUGAACCAGCCAUGCCGCGUGCAGGAAGACGGCUCUAUGAGUUGUAAACUGCUUUUGUCCGAGGGUAAAUCCCGAUACGUGUAUCGGGUUGAAAGUAUCGUACGAAUAAAGAUCGGCUAAAUCCGAGCCAGCAGCCGCGGUAAUACGGAGAAUUCAAGAGUUAUCCGGAUUUAUUGUGUUGAAAGGGUGCGUAGGCGGUUCGAUAAGUUAGAGGUGCAAUCCCGGGGCUCAACGCCGGCACUGCCUCUGAUACUGUCGGGCUAGAGUGUAGUUGCGGUAGGCGGAAGGUAUGGUGUAGCGGUGAAAUGCAGAGAGAUCAUACAGAACACCGAUUGCGAAGGCAGCUUACCAAACUACGACUGACGUUGAGGCACGAAAGCGUGGGGAGCAAACAGGAUUAGAUACCCGAGUAGUC
rnacentral:rRNA from 1 species